rnacentral:lncRNA from 1 species
UUUGUCUUGGUUCAUACUACUGCAAAUAACAACUUUAAAAGUAAAUGUGUUCAGAAUUUGACAGUAUUAGAUCAGUUUUGAUUGAUUUAUUCAUAAGAUUGCUAAACCUUUACUGCAAAAUGUUUCCAUUAAAGCCUUGUUUGGUAGACUAAAGCUUUGUUAAUUCUACGUGUCACCCUAAAAAAAAAAAAGCGAUAUGCCAUCCAGAUAAAGCCUGCUCUCUAAUCUAAAAUGCCAAUAUUAAAUUUCUACAUACUUACUUAAUUCUACUAUAGUCCAAAUCCCAAACAAAAAGGCAAAACUUGACCUUCAAACCUUAUAGAGAUCUUAAUAAUAGAGAUCUUAAUAUGGUUUUUCAUAUUUUUAACACUUGUGACACUUGGAGUUCUGAGACAGGUAAACCUACACAAGGUGGAGCUGCCUGCCCCCUCCAUGGACCACGCUUAAAUGCAGCAGAAGAUACUGGGCAAGAAAAUGCCCCAUCCUGGCAUUCUUUGAGACCUUACUCCAGGGCUGCUGGACUGUCCUAGCCACCAGAGAGUGGGUAAGCCAUCCUAAGUUAUAGCCCUUACAGGAAAUGUCGACACUGCCAGAUUCGUCACCGACAGAAAAUCGCUGCUGGAGGCUGAGGGGGUUCAGGGCAACAACAGCCCCCUUUAAGGUGUCUGUCUCAGAUUCCAAGUCGCACAAAACUCUCAGUCUGACAUACGUGCAUUCACCAGUGAAGCUGUCCUGGCCAAAACACCUGGCACCAGCGUCUACCUGGGCAUCAACCUUCAUCCCGUCGACUCCCUUAGGCUCCAGUACAGCGCCCUUUGCCAGCAGGAAGUAGUUAAAGAGAGAAAUCUUCGCCCCUUUUCAUAAUAAUAACCAUAAGACGGGAUAUGAAAGGUUUGGCCCAGACAGGACACUGUAGCCAGGAAAGCCACAACCGGAAGCAGGAAGCCCCAUCUUGCCCUGCCCCUAGGAAGUUACCUGUGACGCCAUCUUCCCGCCCCUGGGAAUUUACAUAUGGCGUCAAACCUAGGACCAAUGGGCUACCUGUGUAUCCCUAAUGCCCGCCUUAGGUUCCACCCCAAACCGAGGCUAUUUACAGGCCCCCACGCCGCGUGUCGGCCAGAGAGAUCGCCGGACGCCAGUGGUGGGGGUUGCCGGUCAUCUCUCUCCGUGUUCUCAGAAUAAAGGCCGCUUUUUAUUUUAUA